GGGGAUGUAACUCAGUGGUAGAGUGCCUGCUUCGCAUCUUAUGACUUGUGCUUGCAUGAAGUCCAGGGUUCAACUCCCUGCUUCUCCA
rnacentral:tRNA from 1 species